UACGGAGGGUGCAAGCGUUGUUCGGAAUCACUGGGCGUAAAGCGCGUGUAGGCGGCCUUCUAAGUCUGGUGUGAAAGCCCGGGGCUCACCCCCGGAAGUGCACUGGAUACUGAAAGGCUAGAGUACCGGAGAGGAGGGUGGAAUUCCUGGUGUAGCGGUGAAAUGCGUAGAUAUCAGGAAGAACACCGGUGGCGAAGGCGGCCCUCUGGACGGAUACUGACGCUGAGACGCGAAAGCGUGGGGAGCAAACAGG
rnacentral:rRNA from 1 species